rnacentral:tRNA from 1 species
GCGGGGUAGCUCAGGUGGUUAGAGCGCACGACUCAUAAUCGUGAGGUCGCGGGUUCGAGUCCCGCUCCCG